rnacentral:lncRNA from 1 species
AAAGAUGGCCUCUGAUGAAUGAUGACUCGGUUUUCAUAUCUUUUUGUAGUUAUUUUCCACAAUGAAUGUGGGCUGGCUCUGUAACCAAAGAAUAAAGAGGUGAUGAUGUGUCAUUUCUGGGCCUCAGCUUUAAGAAAGCCUGACAGCUUCCCCUUUUACACUAUUGGGAGCCGUGAGAUGCCCUGUAAGAGGAUCAGCUACCCUACUGUAAGAACAACUGGAGAGCCAGCAUGGUGAGGGAGAGGCUCUGAGACUACAUGAAGAGAGGGAGGCCCAGCAGUCCCAAAUGAGUCUGGCUUUCCAGCUAUCCCCUUCCAAGGACCCAGGUAGCCCCUUAUGAGGGUGCUCUCUGCUCACCUCUGGUGCUUAUGCUGUGAUUGCUGAUGUUGCUUGGAAUCUGCCUCCAGGAACUCCUUUGCCUUCCUGUUCUCCUCCUCAAACAGCUGCCUGGAGGGCUGGCCACAAGGGUUGAAGGGUCAUCAGUCCAUCCCCCAACUCCUCUCUUCAGCUUCCCUCCGUUCUGCUGUGAAAAAAGAGCCUUACACUGAGGGCAGGGUGACCUUUUCCAUAGAACAGCUGGUUCAGCUGAUGCUGCAAGUACUCCUUCUUUAUGUAUCAGCUUCUCUGUGGAAGUAAGUAAGGCAGGGCGGGUACCUCUUACCUCUGAGCCUCACUUUGCAUUCCCUUGCAUUGCAUCAGGAAGAUUCUCAGUGUCUAUCUAUGGGGAGAGGAAUUAAGGAGGCCUUUUGAGAGGUCACAGGAUGAAUCAGGGUUGGGCAGAUUAUUGGGUGGAAGAUGCCAAGCUAAUUUAAAGGAAUACUGGUUCUCUGCCUCCAUGUCCCACCUCCAGAGUCCCUAUUGCACAGAUUGAACCCCUAGAGGACACACUUGCAUUUUAU